GAACCGACCCUCUCUCUCGGCGGUGCAAUUUGGAUUUGCCCUAAUUCAACGACUCUUCUCUCUCUCUCUCUCUCUCUCUUUCUCUCUCUCUCUCUAGUGAAAGAGGGAAGCGAAACCCUAGUUCCAUGUCGGGAGCGUACGGUUCCGGCGGCGCGGGCGACUCCGGUCCCCCGAUGCGCGGCGGCGGCGGCGGCGGCGGCGGCGGAGGAUACGGUGGCGGUGGCGGUGGCGGAUAUGGACAGCGAGGCGGCGGCGGCGGCGGCGGCUACCAUGGCGGCGACCGUGGGGGUCGCGGAGGCGGAGGCGGAGGUGGGCGAGGCGGCGGACGCGGUCCCGGAAGUGGCCGGGAAGGGGAUUGGGUUUGCCCUAAUUCGAGCUGCGGGAACUUGAACUUUGCAAGAAGAGUCGAAUGCAAUAAGUGUGGUGCUCCGUGCCCUAACGGCGGUGGUGGUUCGAACCGUGGGGGAGGAGGCGGUGGCGGUGGGUUUAACAGGGGAGGUGGUGGAGGUGGAGGACGGUAUAAUCGUGGUGGCGGAGAUUAUGGUUCUGGUGGCGGUGAUGAUUAUAAUCGUGGAGGCGGCGGUAAUUUUGGGUCCGGUGGUGGAUCUCGCGGCUAUGAUGGAAGCCGCGGUGGCCGUAACGGUGGGUAUGGCGGAAGAGGGAGUUAUGGUAAUACCCCGGGUAGAGAAGAGGGUGGUUAUCCCAACCCAGGCAGAGAAGAAACUGGCUAUGCCCAGGUUCCUCCUCCUUCGUAUGGGGGUUCUGUUGGGAACUAUUCAUCUCCUCCGAAUUCUUAUGGUGGGAAUAACUCAUAUGGUGUUGACCCUGUUCCGCCACCUAACCCAAGUUUCGGUGGUCCGAGUUCCUAUCCACCUAGUUAUGGUGCUCCACCACCAAACCCCUAUGGCGGUGAUGCUCCUUUAGGGUCCAGAGGUGCACCGGUUGGCUACGAUGGCGGCUAUGGUGGUCGGCCAGUCCCUGUUCGUGAUGGUAGUGGUGCGCCUCCUUAUCAGGGAGGUGGAGGCUAUGGUGGUGGUGCUCCUGUUGAGGCCUCUGGAAAGAUUAAACAAUGUGAUGAUAAUUGUGGGGAUACAUGUGAUAAUUCUAGGAUUUACAUAUCGAAUUUGCCCCCUGAUGUUACUGCUGAGGAACUGCAGGAGCUUUUUGGUGGGAUUGGACAGGUUGGAAGGAUUAAGCAGAAACGUGGCUACAAGGAUCAGUGGCCUUGGAAUAUUAAAAUAUAUACUGAUGACCUGGGAAAAAAUAAAGGUGAUGCUGUUCUUUCUUAUGAAGAUCCCUCUGCUGCGCAUUCAGCUGGUGGAUUUUAUAACAAUUAUGAUAUGAGAGGCUACAAGAUAAGCGUUGCCAUGGCUGAAAAAACAGCACCUAAAGCUCCACCUGCAUAUGGCCAUGGGGGUGGCAGAGGUGGUGGGUAUGGUGGUGGUGGUGACAGGCGCAGGGACAAUUUCCGUGAUGGUGGAGGUGCGGGGCCUGACAGGAACCGCGGCGGUGGUUUCCGCUCUCGACCAUACUGAAGAAGAGAAUCAGUUAAAAAUGUACUGAGAAUGUGAUCUGUGAGAAACUGUUUCUAUUACCUAUUCACUCAUACAAAGGAGCCUAAGGUAGGUGGACUUUAUUCUCCCUUAGGCUUUUUCUAUCUUAUUAUCUGAAGAAAAUCUGGAUGGGCGGCAGUUUUCUAUUUGACCAUAAAUUAAUUAAAAGUUGUGUGAAUGUUUUUUUCUAGAGGCAAGUGGAUAUAAUCUGCGAAAAUUUGCUGGUAGGUUUGAGAUUUUCAGCCUUAUCUGGCUCAAAAAGAAGACGUAGGCGCCACAAGCGGACUUACCUAAUUAUCAAAACCUAAAUCAUCCUUCUUGAAUGGAGAUGCUUCCUUCGAGGACUGAAAAUUUCGGAGCACCUACAUAUUCAGCUUUCCUCCAAGUUGAGCAUUGUACACAAUCAUGACAACGCUAUAUCCCAAUGUCUAUGGAUUGGAGGAGAUUGUCGGAGAUGUCUACUAGAUCCAUUAGGAUUUGCAGAAAAGGUACUAAUCUGGUAGCAGUCAUCUAAUGUCCUGAUGAUGCUUGUGUCACUUCCUCUUCCGCAUCCUUCGUUAGAGGUGCAGUGGGAUAUCUAAGCACAUUAGUAUGUGUUCUUGCCGGUAGCUUGUGCGCCUGUCUAAUGAUUAAGUUGAAAAUUUUUCUCGUCGCAACAUGGAAGAACUUAAUUUAUGCGCCUGACUGCUUUGCUUGCUUCAGAGCUUAAUUGAAAUUGAAAAGUGCUGCAAACCGUUAUAAACUUUUUUAACGUCCAACGAAAACUUGGGACUAUGUUAGAUCUUUGCUUCUCUGAUGCUAUGAAGUAAGAGUGGUAACCUGUGAAGCAUCUAGCCGGUUCUUCAAUGGAACCCGCUGGUUUUUCAAUGGAAAUUUUUACUGUCAUUUCAUAGAGCCAUAGAGCUCAGUUUUAAUGUGCUUUGAGAAAAGCGGUCGGAUUUGAAGAAUGCAUCCCCAGCAAGGUCUUCCGAUGUGGCUGACUGCAUUGAACCGCAAUGGAAGUGUGGGGAGAGAUUAUGUUGGGAGUAUUCGACGUGGUGGUUGCAUAUGGAAUGUCUUACCUUAUUUUCGAUUUUUGUCGUGUGAUUGAGCACCAAAGGUAAUUGCAACUUAAAUUAUUUUUGAA